AAUCAACUAUAAGCUUUAACAUCCAAUCAGCAACAGGGGGAUUCAAAAAUUACCCAAUCAGGAUCAUGCAAGCAGGGAGGUCGAGGCCGGAUUACAGGAGGCUGCAGAGCACAAGUGCAGCCCCAUAGCCACGGUGGCACGUGGGCCGGGAGCAUUCCAGCACUCGGGGCGAGGCUCUACCGCGGUGCGGCCCACCAGCGCGCCCCCACCCGGCCACUCGCAGCGCUGGCCGCUGGCCGGCAGAGAUGCGGAGCCCCGGGGAGGCAGCAAGUGGCAGAUUCGCAGCCCCCACAUUUUCCGUGUCAAAACGAUGUGUCAUCUUGGUCCAGACUACCCCAGCAGCUCUAGUGAGGUCGACCAUCUCAAGAGCCGGGAUCGGUGGUUCACUUCCUAGUCCAGCAAGAAUGGUUGGCAAGCCUCGGCCGUUAGGUGGGAGAAACCCUGCCCUGGAACACUGAGAUCUCGUGCACAAAGGAAACACCAAGGUCGGCUGACAGCUUGGGAACCGAGAUAGCAACAGAACCACCAACGUGACCCCAGGAAAGAGGAGGAAAAGCCAUUUAUUGUGCACAGCUGUGUUGUAACAGCACGUCAGAACUCUAACACCUGGCACACCCCGCCCCGCCUUUAGAGAAACACUAUGUGCCAUCACAGUCACCAGCUUUGGAGGACCAAGUGCAGUGACCACCCCCAGCUGCUGUGUGUAGUCCUAGAUCCUUCAGAACCUCAGUGGAAGCAACAGGAGCCCGCUUGCCACUGCCAGAGCAAACUGCCAAGGACGCCUGCAGAAAUGUUCAGGCCCAUUAAAAACCAGUAACAAGAAAUGGAUUUUUCACCUGGUUUCCUAUGCAAAAAAAAAAAAAAAAAUAUAUAUAUAUAUAUAUAAAUAAGGGGGAAAAAAGAGUGUAGA